rnacentral:rRNA from 1 species
GCGAGAAUACCCGGCGAAUUUAAGCAUAUUACGUAACCGGAGGAAAAGAAACCAACAGGGACGUCCUCAGUAGCGGCGAGCGAAGCGGACGAUGGCCCCAAACCGAACCGCGGUUCCCGAGGGGCCGCGGAGUGUGGAGAGGAUGAGCUCGCGAGGGGGCGGGACGGGUUCCAAUCCGUCUGGAAGGGCGGAGGCACGGAGGGCGAUUCCCCGUACGUGCUCGGUCCGUCCCCGACGAGCGAACGCAUCGGAGAGUCGGGCCGCUUGAGAGUGCAGCCCCGAAUGGGGUGAUAGGUCUCAUCCAAGGCUAAGUACGUGGGAGACGCCGAUAGCGAACAAGUACGGCGACGGAAAGGUGAAAAGAACCUCGAAAGGGGGUCAAAAGCGCUCGAAAUCGUAGAGGGGGAAGCGGACCUGACCGACGAGACCUCGUCGUCGCUCGCGCUCGA